rnacentral:tRNA from 1 species
AAGGAUUUAAGUUAAGCUAAACUCUCAACCUUCAAAGUUGAUUAUAGGGAAAUUCCCUAAGCCUUA